AGUUGGUGGAUCAAGGCCAUGUCUUCAGAACGACGGCGCAGAUACCACCCCAAGAUUGGAAGCUGGGGUCUGAUAGAUCCCAAGACCCCUACCUCCUACAUCCCCUUCUGGAGAACUCUGUGGCUGAGCUGCGACUGUCACAGGAGAGAUCAGCAGGAAGAAGCUGACUGGCCAAUAGCUGGACAGGAUAAGGCUAGGUGGGAGAGCCAAAGUGAGAAUGAUGGGAAGAAGAGCAGAGUCUGGAGUCGUGAGAGAUGCCGGGAGAAGCAAGACGAACAUGCGCUAUGGAAAGAAGGUACGAGUGACUACGUUCAACCAUUUCCUCUUUCAUGGGUUCAACGGCCAAGCGACCUGUCAUCUAAGCUGCCACAAUGACCCGAUGACACCGUCCUAGCCUCGUCCCUCUAUGUAGUGAACGAAAGGCUUCUGGCCAUGAGAGACAACUUAAAGGAACAGUCCCUGCAGAAACUGGAGCAGACAACCUUUGCCAAAGGGCCACGUACUUCCAUCAGGGAAAGCUGGGAGUCUUCCUCCGACAGGACCAAGUGGUCGCAGUCAAGCAUAAUAAUGCCUGCGAGGCUGGUUGCUCAUGUUGCAUUCAGUGGUUGGUAGGGAAGGAAGCGACCAUUGACUUUCAAACGCAUGCACAUGUACAAACAGCCCCGCCAAGCUCCGUUUGUUCGGCAGCGGCAAACACACGGACUGGAGCCAUUCAGUGUCAUCAAGAUCAAGGGUCCAAAUCACAAUAUAGCACAUCUGCCUCCCACGGAGCUCCUUGGAAAUGUUUCAAAGGGAUUGGCUGCCGCAGAGAGAAGAAGAAGAAUGGGGGGAUUGGCUGAACCUUGGGCCGCUUUCCUCCAUGGUCUGGUUUCUAAGGCUUCUUGAAAAGUCUCCGAGAACUUGGAGGGAAGAUUAAUGGUUGGCUUGAGCCUGAGAAGAUCCAAGUGAGUCAGUGUCAUCUGUCAGCCCAAGCAUUCUUAGCACUCUCAGGAACAUCCUGGAGAGGAUUCUGUUCCAUGGAUAUCGUGCAUACUUUUCCACGGAUUGAUUUCAGGAUGGGAUUAUAAUUUCUGCGUUAGCCUUCUGAUUCUUUUUUUUUUUUUAGCCUUCUGAUUCUUAAAUAGUAUGUCGGUAAUAAACCAACUCAUUUGAAUGGUAAAUAGCUGCAACUUGUUAAUACAAUUCAGGUGAUCCCUAGUAAGACAUUAUCACACCUGUCAGGGCCUCUCUCGACUGCUCAUCCUGAAAGCCACAGACCCCGUGACUAGCCUGGACCAUAAACACAUUCCAUGCUCUACUUCCAGUUUUAAGCAAAAAUAAAUAAAUAAAGCGUGAAAACA